GGGGAUAUGGCGAAAUCGGUAGACGCUACGGACUUAAUAUCCGUCGACUUAAAAAAAUCGUGAGGGUUCAAGUCCCUCUAUCCCCA
rnacentral:tRNA from 9 species